rnacentral:rRNA from 1 species
AUUGAACGCUGGCGGCAGGCUUAACACAUGCAAGUCGAGCGGGGUGAUGGUGCUUGCACUAUCACCUAGCGGCGGACGGGUGAGUAAUGCUUAGGAAUCUGCCUAUUAGUGGGGGACAACAUCUCGAAAGGGAUGCUAAUACCGCAUACGUCCUACGGGAGAAAGCAGGGGAUCACUUGUGACCUCGCGCUAAUAGAUGAGCCUAAGUCGGAUUAGCUAGUUGGUGGGGUAAAGGCCUACCAAGGCGACGAUCUGUAGCGGGUCUGAGAGGAUGAUCCGCCACACUGGGACUGAGACACGGCCCAGACUCCUACGGGAGGCAGCAGUGGGGAAUAUUGGACAAUGGGGGGAACCCUGAUCCAGCCAUGCCGCGUGUGUGAAGAAGGCCUUAUGGUUGUAAAGCACUUUAAGCGAGGAGGAGGCUCUUUUGGUUAAUACCCAAGACGAGUGGACGUUACUCGCAGAAUAAGCACCGGCUAACUCUGUGCCAGCCGCCGCCGUAA